GAGGGUAGAGCUCAAUGGUAGAGUGCGUGCUUAGCAUACAGGAGGUCCUGGGUUCAAUCCCCAGUACCUCCA
rnacentral:tRNA from 1 species